AUUGUCUGUACUGGUGAGAUGAGUCUCUACCUUCUGAGGAACUUUCAUGCCAUUCGUUUGGUGUGAUGGGAAAUCAGGACUGUUACUUUGAAAAAAUUAGAGUGUUUAAAGCAGGCUAACGUCUGAAUACAUUAGCAUGGAAUAAUGAAAUAGGACGGAUUGAUUCUAUUUCGUUGGUUUCUAGGGUCACCGUAAUGAUUAAUAGGGAUAGUUGGGGGCAUUAGUAUUCAAUUGUCAGAGGUGAAAUUCUUGGAUUUAUUGAAGACUAACUACUGCGAAAGCAUUUGCCAAGGAUGUUUUCAUUAAUCAAGAACGAAAGUUAGGGGAUCGAAGACGAUCAGAUACCGUCGUAGUCUUAACCAUAAACUAUGCCGACUAGGGAUCGGACGAAGUUAAUUUUAUAAUGACGCGUUCGGCACCUUACG
rnacentral:rRNA from 1 species